GGGCGGGGUGCUGCAGUCUGGAGCCAGGAUAGCGAGAGGUGCAGAAAUGGACUAUGAGCCCAGACUUUACUUUCGGAGUUCAGCGACCUAAAGUACCCGAAAAGGUGAUCUUGAUGAGUUUGCUGCUGGACUGUGGAGACCUGCUGAAGAAUGAACUAUAAAUCAGUGCUACAAUGAAUCAAAUAAAGCAUCAGGUUGCAAACCGAGUCAACAACAACCAGAGGCUGGAGAGCUUAGACAAAUGGUUGACCAUGAGUGACAUAUCCCCCAUCCCCCAACCUCAAGUUCCAACAAAGCUUUCUCCAGAGGAGAGCACUUAAGAGCCUGGUGACAUGUUAGCGGCACAAGCAUGACGUCGCUUGUCAGGAUUGUGCAGGAGCAGGGAGAGGACGCGAAGGCAGACACAAAUGCAAAUAUUUUAUUAAACAGCAAAGAAAACAAAAAGAAAACAAC